rnacentral:rRNA from 1 species
UACAGAGGGUGCGAGCGUUAAUCGGAAUUACUGGGCGUAAAGCGUGCGUAGACGGUCAAGUAAGUCGGGUGUGAAAGCCCCGGGCUCAACCUGGGAAUUGCAUUCGAGACUGCGUGGCUAGGGUGCGGAAGAGGGAAGCGGAAUUUCCGGUGUAGCGGUGAAAUGCGCAGAUAUCGUGAGGAACACCAGAGGCGAAGGCGGCUACCUGGACAAUUGCUGACGCUCAGGCACGAAAGCGUGGGGAGCAAAAGGG